UACGUAGGGUGCAAGCGUUGUCCGGAAUUAUUGGGCGUAAAGAGCUCGUAGGCGGUCUGUCGCGUCUGCUGUGAAAACUCAGGGCUUAACCCUGAGCUUGCAGUGGGUACGGGCAGACUAGAGUGCGGUAGGGGAGACUGGAAUUCCUGGUGUAGCGGUGAAAUGCGCAGAUAUCAGGAGGAACACCGGUGGCGAAGGCGGGUCUCUGGGCCGUAACUGACGCUGAGGCACGAAGGCCAGGGGAGCAAACGGG
rnacentral:rRNA from 1 species